rnacentral:rRNA from 1 species
UGAGUAACGCGUAGGAACCUAUCGUUCAGUGGGGGAUACCGCUGGGAAACCGGCGCUAAUACCGCAUGUGGUCAGUGAUGAAGAAAGCAGCAAUGCGCUGAAUGAGGGGCCUGCGUCCGAUUAGCUAGUUGGUGGGGUAAAGGCCUACCAAGGCAUCGAUCGGUAGCUGGUCUGAGAGGAUGGUCAGCCACACUGGGACUGAGACACGGCCCAG